rnacentral:rRNA from 1 species
GGACCCGACUGCUAUCGGGGUGGGACUAAGCCGUGCGAGUCAGCGCCCCUAGCCACGGUGGGGCGCGGCGUACGGCUCCGUAAAAUACGGCUAACCUACCCUCAGGACAGGGAUAACCUCGGGAAACUGAGGCUAAUCCCUGAUAGAUGAGGGACCCUGGAACGNUCCCUCAUCUAAAGGAUCCCAAGACCAUGCUCUUGGGAUCGCUUGAGGAUGGGGCCGUGGCCUAUCAGGUUGACGGUGAGGUAACGGCUCACCGUGCCUAUAACGGGUACGGGCCGUGAGAGCGGGAGCCCGGAGAUGGGCACUGAGACAAGGGCCCAGGCCCUACGGGNCGCAGNAGGCGNGAAACCUCCGCAAUGCGCUAACGCGCGACGGGGUCACCCCGAGUACCAGCCGCUGAGGCUGGCUUUUCCCCAGUGUAAAACGCUGGGGGNAUAAGCGGGGGGC